CAGGAUUAAAGGACUGGUGGCUGCUGGAAGGAGCUAUAGCAGUAGUGCUUCUCUCCGUAAAGCUUGCCAAUUCCUGCUGUCCAAACAGGUCGCUCUCUGGUGGAUGGUCUCCGUAAUGUGCUCGUCGAAAGUACUUCAAAGUGUAAUCAAAUCUCGAGGGCAACAGGUCACAUAUAGUAAAUAGCUGCACGGGCAAUGCUUGCUCUUAUCGACGCUGGACAGGAGAUCAUGGGAGUAUUCAAUAGGAACUGCAUGAUCACUGAUGCGGCCUACGGAGACAUUUUUUUCCGAUCUGGGCCUUGGGAGAGUACUGAAGAGGCAGCCCUUCCUUAUCCUUAUUUGGCCGACUGUAUCGUCAGUUUUGUUCCUCCUAAUUUGUAUUCUUAAAAUCAUGAGGCGCUCCAUCUGACAGUUCCUAGGGAAGAAAAGAGUGGCCGCGCCCAGGAAAGGUUCGGGGAGGGGAAGCUACUCUUGGUUGCAGACUAUGUUGCAUUAUGAUUCAGUGCUCUGAUAUGUUUGUAGGGGUUGCAGCAUUACUCGACAUUUUAUCAGUGAAGUUUCGGCUUCUAUGCAUCAGCAGUUCAGCACUAGUAGUAGCAGCUGCCGUAUUCAGAAUGUGACCUGUGAAAAUCAAUGUUUCCUUUUGUAGAACACUGUCAAAUUGUUCGUAUUCCUUGAUAUCACGUUCGGUCUCGGCUCUUGCUCGACCUUUGA